rnacentral:rRNA from 1 species
CCUACGGGUGGCAGCAGUGGGGAAUAUUGGGCAAUGGGCGCAAGCCUGACCCAGCAACGCCGCGUGAAGGAAGAAGGUUUUCGGGUUGUAAAGUUCUUUUCUCAGGGACGAAGAAAGUGACGGUACCUGAGGAAUAAGCCGCGGCUAACUACGUGCCAGCAGCCGCGGUAAUACGUAGGGGGCAAGCGUUAUCCGGAUUGAUUGGGUGUAAAGGGCGUGUAGGCGGGAGCGUAAGUCAGAUGUGAAAACUCAGGGCCUAACCCUGGGCCUGCAUUUGAAACUGUGAUUCUUGAGUGCUGGAGAGGUAAGCGGAAUGCCGGGUGUAGCGGUGAAAUGCGUAGAUAUAAGGAGGAACACCAGGGGCGAAGGCAGAUUACUGG